UCAGGACGAACGCUGGCGGCGUGCCUAAUACAUGCAAGUCGAACGGUCUUUCUAUGGAAGCUUGCUUCCACUGAGAAGAUAGUGGCGAACGGGUGAGUAACACGUGGGUAACCUGCCCAUAAGAGGGGGGAUAACAUCCGGAAACGGGUGCUAAUACCGCAUAGUUUUCUUGAUCGCAUGAUUGAGAAAGGAAAGACGGCCUUUGUGCUGUCGCUUAUGGAUGGACCCGCGGCGUAUUAGUUAGUUGGUGAGGUAACGGCUCACCAAGACGAUGAUACGUAGCCGACCUGAGAGGGUGAUCGGCCACAUUGGGACUGAGACACGGCCCAAACUCCUACGGGAGGCAGCAGUAGGGAAUCUUCCGCAAUGGACGAAAGUCUGACGGAGCAACGCCGCGUGAGUGAAAGAAGGUUUUCGGAUCGUAAAACUCUGUUGCCAGAGAAGAACAAGUUGGAGAGUAACUGCUCCAGCCUUGACGGUAUCUGACCAGAAAGCCACGGCUAACUACGUGCCAGCCGCCGC
rnacentral:rRNA from 1 species